UACAGAGGUCUCAAGCGUUGUUCGGAUUCAUUGGGCGUAAAGGGUGCGUAGGCGGCGCGGUAAGUCGGGUGUGAAAUCUCGGAGCUUAACUCCGAAACUGCAUUCGAUACUGCCGUGCUUGAGGACUGGAGAGGAGACUGGAAUUUACGGUGUAGCGGUGAAAUGCGCAGAUAUCGGGAGGAACACCAAUGGCGAAGGCAGCUCGCUGGGACGGUACUGACGCUGAGACGCGAAAGCGUGGGGAGCAAACAGG
rnacentral:rRNA from 1 species